rnacentral:rRNA from 1 species
AUGCUAAUUGCUCAGAUUGAGGGGAAGAUCAAUCGGCUGCAUCAAGGCGACGACAUGUCAGUGAUGACAUAUGUGGCAGAGCUGCAGGCUUUGUGGGCAGAGCAGGAUAACUGCGACCCUCUGGAACUCUACGAUGCGGCUUGCAUCGAGUCAGGGCGCAAGUGGAUUGCACGCAGGCGUGUGCUGAAACUGUUGGAGGGGCUUAGAGGUUGUUUUCAUGGCAGGAGGGCAUCCCUGUUGCACCAACCUCUCCUGCCCUCUCUUGAGGAGACUAUUGCUACUAUGUCUCAAGAGGAGGUGCGGCUAUCUCUUGAGCAUGCAGACAUGAAGGUUGUGCCGUCUUCGACAUUUGCAGUCACUGAGCGCAUGGAGUGGAGCGAUCCCAACAAAUGUCAUAUCUGUGGGGAGGCAGGUCACUGGAAGUGGGCGUGUCCAACUCGUGGCAGAGGCAGGGGAUACAACGGAGGGGGAACUGGCAGAGGCAGGAGUGCUAGAGGCAGAGGUGGAUACUCAGGGACCUCAAGGGGCCAGGCUUCUAGGGGCAGAGGUGGCUACUCAGGACACUCAGGGGAUCAGAGGGCUCACAUGACAGUGGCAGGAGACACUGGGACGUCAAAAGGCAAAGAUGCAAAUGAUGUUGACUAUGGAGACUUUGCUCUCUGGGCCUCCACUGAUGAAGGAGCGACAGACGAGCCAGACAGUUGGGACUGGCACCAGGCGUAG